rfam:Myotis lucifugus cont2.5059, whole genome shotgun sequence.
GAGUUUUUGAUGUCGCAGAUACUGCAUCAGGAACUGAUUGGAUAAGAAUCGGUCACCAUCAGUUCCUAAUGCAUUGCCUUCAGCAUCUAAACA